rnacentral:rRNA from 1 species
AGAGUUUGAUCCUGGCUCAGGAUGAACGCUGGCGGCGUGCCUAACACAUGCAAGUCGAGCGAUUCUCUUCGGAGAAGAGCGGCGGACGGGUGAGUAACGCGUGGGUAACCUGCCCUGUACACACGGAUAACAUACCGAAAGGUAUGCUAAUACGAGAUAACAUACUUUUAUCGCAUGGUAGAAGUAUCAAAGCUCCGGCGGUACAGGAUGGACCCGCGUCUGAUUAGCUAGUUGGUAAGGUAACGGCUUACCAAGGCGACGAUCAGUAGCCGACCUGAGAGGGUGAUCGGCCACAUUGGAACUGAGACACGGUCCAAACUCCUACGGGAGGCAGCAGUGGGGAAUAUUGCACAAUGGGCGAAAGCCUGAUGCAGCAACGCCGCGUGAGCGAUGAAGGCCUUCGGGUCGUAAAGCUCUGUCCUCAAGGAAGAUAAUGACGGUACUUGAGGAGGAAGCCCCGGCUAACUACGUGCCAGCAGCCGCGGUAAUACGUAGGGGGCUAGCGUUAUCCGGAAUUACUGGGCGUAAAGGGUGCGUAGGUGGUUUCUUAAGUCAGAGGUGAAAGGCUACGGCUCAACCGUAGUAAGCCUUUGAAACUGGGAAACUUGAGUGCAGGAGAGGAGAGUGGAAUUCCUAGUGUAGCGGUGAAAUGCGUAGAUAUUAGGAGGAACACCAGUUGCGAAGGCGGCUCUCUGGACUGUAACUGACACUGAGGCACGAAAGCGUGGGGAGCAAACAGGAUUAGAUACCCUGGUAGUCCACGCCGUAAACGAUGAGUACUAGCUGUCGGAGGUUACCCCCUUCGGUGGCGCAGCUAACGCAUUAAGUACUCCGCCUGGGAAGUACGCUCGCAAGAGUGAAACUCAA